UCGUGCUCUUUACUCUCUCUCAAAAAUAAAUAAACAUUUAAAAAAGUUUUUAAAUAUAAAAAACACUUGUACCUUGUAGACUUUACAAAAGCAGGUGUGGGCAGGAUUUGGCUAGCAGGCUAGAAUUUGCAGACCCCGGCUCUAGAUCUAACACAUUUGUGUGGUUCUCUCCCAUGAACAGCAAGGAGCUGCAACCAUAUGGGCUGCAAAGAGGAAUUUAACCUGAAGUAGGGCUGUGAGUUUGCAGCUCUUGCCAGGAGGAUUUCAGAAAGCUGGAGGAUGAUUCUAACAGGGGUUGAGAGACAUGGACCCAUUUCCCUGGGAAAGAGCUGUGCUCUGUUAGAAUGAGACUAAUCUGUGGGACUACCCCAGCUGGCCAUUGAUCUGACUGGGACAUCCCUGUCCACCUCCACGCCUCCUGUAGGUCAGAACCUGACGGAGCAUGACGUGGAACACAAGAGGCAUGGGGAGGCAUCUUGAUAUAGACAGGGUACCCACUGGUCACCCAAGGUCUGGAAGCAGAUUGUCAGAAGGUCACUACUAGCCUAACACUACGUCACAACACCUGCGUCAUUCACCUUAUUUCAUCUCUUCAUGGAAGCGUUUUAUCAUCUCAUGUCAUCACAAGAGGAGGAAGAAGGGUGAGUACAGUGCUCCUUUCGCAGUACAAAAAUGGACUUUCAUGCAAUUCAUUUCAGUCAGAAGUUCCAGGGAUGGAUUUGGAAGACAAAAAUCAUAAGAUAUUUUGAGAGAGGUCACAUUCAUGUAACUUUUAUUUCAGUCUAUUGUUAUAAUUCUAUUUUGUUAUUAGUUGUUGUGACUCUUACUAUGUGACUCUUACUAUGCCUAAUUUAUAAAUUAAAUUUUAUCAUAGGUAUGUAUGUACAAGAAAAAAAAUAUAGUAUCUAUAGGGAUUGGUACUAUAUGUGCUUCUAGUCAUUCCCUGGGGGGCCUUGGAACAUGUCCCCCAUGGAUAAGAGGGGGGACCACUAUAGGUGCCAUUGGACGCUUAGCUCCCACUCCACUUGGAGAUGUCAAGGCCUUGUUUUCUGUCCCAGGGUCUGUGUGUAACUGGGAUGGGAGACCCUUUUACUUGAGAGCUAUUAUCUUUGCUGCAUGAUUAGACUCUCCUGACCUUAGUUCUCACUUGUAAAAUGAGGUAAUAAUAGUAUCCAUCUCAAGGAAUUGUGUGAUUAACUGAGUUAAUACCUUUAAAAAAGAAAGAGCACUUAGAGCACAGAGUGAACAAGCCAUGCAUGUUAACUAUUAUGAUGACGGUAGUAGUAAUGACCAUCCCUAUUGGACAUCACAGAUGGAGGCAGCCUAGGGUGGUUACAUGAUGUCGCUGUCUCCUGGCAAGGAUCCAAUGAAUCCCUGCUUUACACCUCCGUGGCUUUGCUGAGGACAUGGUGAAGAGUGUGAGGACUGUUGUUCUAUCUACUUCUGGAAGGGGCUGAUGGAGAAAUAACCAGGCCUGUGAGUUUAUACAACAGUGGGUCAAAGUGUAAAACUUGACCUUGAGAAUUUCAUUAAUCUCUUCAAUUAUAUUGAAGGCAGCAGAGAAGUCACUUCUCACACGGGUCCCCAAGAAUUAAAAGAGUGAAUGCUGUCCUCUAACUCUUGGCCUUGCCACUUAUCAGCUGUGUCAACUUGGGCCAGUUACUUAAACUCUCUGAACUGCAGUUUCUUCAUUUGUAAAAUGGGAAGACUAUAGCAUUGUUGGAAUUACUGAAUCAGAUGAUAUCUGUAGAGUUAAUAGCAAAUUAAGUUCUUGGAUCCAGGUGACGGCUCAAUAGAAGCCUGUUAUCAUGCCUAUUAUUAUUUUUAUUAUAAAUGCUUAUAAUUGCAAGCUACCUUUACAGUUUUCAAUUUACAACGCAGGGAACAGGUUACUUUCACAGCAGGGCUUGUCCUGUGACGAUCUUCUCCAUCACCUUAAAAGAUGUUCACAUUCAUAGGAAUUCCCUCACCUGGGCUGGGCCUGACCCUCAGAACUCCGUGGUUGUCUAUGUAAAGAUGGGCAUUAUCCAUGGGAAGAUUUCCAUGCAAAAGCGUCCUGGUUGCACAAGGGUUGGGUCCAAGUCAUCCUGCCUCUGCGAGUGUCUACAGCCCCAGGGAAUGGGUCAUGGCUCCUACUGGAUGAUUAGGACUUUUGAGGACUUUUGAGGUGUCCAGACUCAAACCCUCCUCACCAUUGACUCUUUCCACUGGGCAAAUUCCUAGGAGUAGAC